rnacentral:rRNA from 1 species
GCCUGUGACCAAAUCAACCAGAAUGUGCCCGAGCUCAUCAGAUCUCGGAAUCUAAGCAGGAAUCUACCUUGACAGUGCUUGGAUGGGCGACAACCACGCAGAGCGAGCUGUUUAAGCU